AUGGACAGACACAGGAGAGGGCUCUACUUACCAGAUAUUGAAGAUGGAAAAACUACCUCACCACAAUCCCUGCCAUUUAAACCCCUCAAACAACCCACAACAACUUCAGCCUCAAGUCAACCCCACAGUCUCACCCUAGACCGUUCUAAGUCUGCCCCAGCCUCAAUAAACCAAGGAGUGUCCCCAAUUGAAAUUCCCGCAUCGAUUGAAUCCUCUCUACUUCAACCCUUGAAAGUGGGUGAACCCUCUCCAGAUCCCUCUGAUGACACCUUCAGAUCUCAGUCCCAAGGACUGGCAGAUCUGACAUCGGCUUGCUUGCAAACAGGUGCAGAUGCUCCUAUCCCAAGCGCUCUUUCCUCUCAGGAACCAUUCUCUAGUGCUGUGCCCGAGGACCAUGAAGUGACAGGCAACAUUGUUUCAGGAGAUUCCGGCAGUCAGAUAGAUGUGGAUUUGGGGAAGAAUAUCACUUCCUCUGGGACUGUAGCAGCAGAAUCUCCCUCUGUUCUUUUUAACCCAAGGUCUCAGACUCAAACGCUGGAUCAGGAAGUGGACAUGGACAUUUCUUCCAAUGCAAAACCAGAAGCUGGCCAUGACUUUUCUGAUCAGUCCCAGAGAGACCAAGGUAUGAUGGAGGAUGUUUCAGGGGCUCAAUCACAACUCAUGCCUGUUCCAGAAUUUAACCUUGAACCCUGUCAUGCUGAGCCAGCCAUUUCUUCUGUCCAUUCAGACUCUGCGAGUGUAAUACCCUGUGAAAGAGAACAGCCAGAGACAGAGAACAUCCCUUCCUUGGCUCAAGCCCUUAAGGAGCUCCAUAAACUUCUGAUGUCCAACACUUGUCCAACAGUUUCUGGAAGGAUUCCUCUAUCUGAUGCUAAUGAUACUACACCAAGACAAGAUGUUGUUGAGGUGAACCAGGAUCCUGCUGCAACAAACCAUGUCACUCUGAACCCAACUAUUGACUCAUCCUCUAAUACUGCCACAGCUAAUGACAUGGAAGAAAGUGUUGCCAAAGCUGACUUUACUUCUCAAUCAGUGGGAGAUAUUCCAGAUGUACCAACACCAAGCAAUCCAGGGCACACAGAGAACCAACCUUCUAGAUGGGUAAAUCCCAUAGUGGAACAAACGAAUGAGUGCACUUACGCGGCUGAAGAAAAUCGGGCCAUUGUUAUUGAAGAAGGUUCUGGGCCAGUGACUUCUUCCCAAGGAGAUCUUGAGUUCCCUGAGGGUCAGCAAGGGCAGGACAUUGUGGACAAAAACACCUCAGGCAUUGACAUCUCAGCUGACCUGUUUCAGCAGCGCCCGCUUUCUGUAGCAGCUGGCUCAUCAACCAAUUCCAGCCUAGGGCCUGUUGCAUCUCCUCAAACUGAAACCACUGAGAUGGAUCCUCUUUUCCUUGGAGACUCCAUUCAACCUGCACCACAGCCCUCGAUGGGACAGUUUCCACUAGAGCACAUUCAGAGGAUCCAGGCAUCAGGGUUUUCAGCCCUUGAGGCUGCUGAGGCACUGGAACAGGCUCAAGGCAGCGUGGAGCUUGCCUUAUUGGUGCUGCUUGCAAGAAAGAUCACUGUGCCCUCAUAGACUCAGAAUCUACUCUUAUUGGUGGCAUCAGUUAACAUAUGAGCCUUUUUUCAUCCUGUGGUUUUACUUUAGCAGUCCUUGUGGUUUUGUACUCUGGUUGUCGUCUUCUGGCUCUUCUACUUUGCCAACAUACAUAAUGUUUAAAAAAUAGAUUUGUGAGAAGCUGGCCAUAUUUCCCUUUCAACAGAACAAUGAUGUCUGUGCAGUCUUUUUUUAAAGUUUUGCAUGUUGCCUCAAUAGUUCGUAAUGGAUUGUUGAUUUUAUUGGUUUGGUUUGAAUAAAUUUGAUAAACUGUCAGACAUUUUACAGGAUUAUAAAUAAUUACAGGUGGUGGGGCUCAAUAAUAAAAUUCUUCUUGUGGCAGAAAUAGACUCUUCCAACAACUGCAUGGUUUUACAUCUCAAAAUUGAUUUACAUGCCUGAUGUUUACUUAUUUUAAACUGAAACUUCUGAAGCAUCUUACUAAAUUUAUUUUGUAUAACUGUGGUAAUAGGAGCAGAUAGUAAACUGGUAAAGCACCCAUUUCAGAGUCCUUUUUCUUAUUUGAAUUGGCAAUAAUGUUCAAGCUGAGGUCAUUUUCUCUUUAAUUAUUAUUUUAUUUGAUAGUUGCCAAUCCUGUAUAACUUGACAUGUUUUCAAUAGGUUGCCUUUGGAAAUUAUUAAAGAAUAGACUUGCCAUUACCUUUAUGUGUUCAUAGUCCAUCCUUGAACAAUAUUGUCAGUCUUUUGGUAAUGAUAUAAAACAAAUCUAAAGGGGAAGUUAUAACAUACUUUUAUUAUCAGUAGUAUCUCUUUUUAUCAGAUUCAUGAUGUUGUGGCUGUGAAUGUAGUGUUUUACAUUGUGUUUUUGAUUUAAAUUUAAACGGACAGGAAAAAGCUGGUGCUGACAAAGUAAUCUACAGGAAGGUUUUGUUUUUUUGUUUUUGCCCGUCUACCACUACAUUGUUUUGGGAAGUCUGUUUUAUUCUCUUAUUUGUUGUCCCUUGUCUAAACGCUUGAUUUUGGUGUAAAGCCCUGAUGUUCCCUUUCCAGCUGUCUGUGAUCUUUUGUCAUGUCUACAUUCUUGUUAUUUUGUAAUCUCUGGGUCAUAUAUCAGUUCAAUCUAUUUGAGACACUCAGUUUCAUCUUGUAUACAGUUUAAAACCAAAUAAAAGGAAAAAAAGUGAUUCUUAUAUUUCAAAUGUGCAGCUGUUU
rnacentral:lncRNA from 1 species